rnacentral:misc_RNA from 1 species
GGAAAAGUCGUAACAAGGUCUCCGUUGGUGAACCAGCGGAGGGAUCAUUACCGAGUUUACAACUCCCAAACCCAAUGUGAACGCUACCAAACUGUUGCCUCGGCGGGGUCACGCCCCGGGUGCGUCGCAGCCCCGGAACCAGGCGCCCGCCGGAGGAACCAACCAAACUCUUUCUGUAGUCCCCUCGCGGACGUUAUUUCUUACAGCUCUGAGCAAAAAUUCAAAAUGAAUCAAAACUUUCAACAACGGAUCUCUUGGUUCUG